UACGAAGGGGGCGAGCGUUGUUCGGAAUUACUGGGCGUAAAGGGCGCGCAGGCGGCCCUUGAAGUCAGGCGUGAAAGCCCCGGGCUCAACCCGGGAGGGUCGUGGCAAACCGGCGGGCUUGAGGCCGGUAGAGGUGGGUGGAACUCCUGGUGGAGUGGUGAAAUGCGUAGAGAUCAGGAAGAACACCCGUGGCGAAGGCGGCCCACUGGGCCGGUACUGACGCUGAGGCGCGAAGGCGUGGGGAGCGAACGGG
rnacentral:rRNA from 1 species